UUGGCAAUGGUGUAGUGGCAGCAUAGGAGAUUGUGGCUCUCCUGGCGUGGGUUCGAAUCCCACUUGUCAACCCA
rnacentral:tRNA from 1 species